AGAAGAGACAUGCGCGCAUAUCAAUAAGCGGAGGAAAAGAAACUAACAAGGAUUCCCUUAGUAACGGCGAGUGAAGCGGGAAGAGCUCAAAUUUGAAAUCUUCAAGGUUUUACCUUGACGAAUUGUAGUUUAAAGAAGUGUCUUCUGCUGAAGUUUUGGUAAAAGUCCUUUGGAAUAGGACAUCAUAGAGGGUGAGAAUCCCGUAUUUGACCAUUAUUUUCAGCUUUGUGAUACACUUUCAAAGAGUCGGAUUGUUUGGGAAUGCAGGUCCAAAAUGGGUGGUAAAUUUCAUCUAAAGCUAAAUAUUGGCGAGAGACCGAUAGCGAACAAGUACCGUGAGGGAAAGAUGAAAAGAACUUUGAAAAGAGAGUUAAACAGUACGUGAAAUUGUCAAAAGGGAAGCGUUUGACACCAGUGUUGUUUUCUCGAAAAUCAAUUAAAAAUGGCUCGAUUUUGUAUUGUUGAGACCUUAAAAGCUCACUGUACAUUUUUCGUGUCUUUUUUAAUGCACUUUUCGUUUAACAAGUCAACAUCAGUUUCUUUUGUUGUAAAAGGGUCAUUGGAAGGUGGCUUUCUUUUCGGAGAAAGUGUUUAUAGCCUUUGGCCUCUGCAAUCGGAGAGACUGAGGUCUGCAGCGUAGACUCUUCGGGGUUAGAUACAUUUGUGCUAAGUUAUAGCUUUUUAUAGACAACUUGUUGACUAUAAUUAGUCUUGUAGCUUACUCGCUUAUGCUAUUUUACCUACGCUUAGGAUGUUGAGUCGUAGAGCACGCAG
rnacentral:rRNA from 1 species